GUUAAUACACUCUACUGAUCCCCGAUGGGAGAAUCAUCAAUUUUGGCAACAAAGAAGCCUGGUGGAUGUUUGUUUACAGUCUGAUGAUGGGACAUCAUGCUCUGCAUCUUCAAAGUUUGCCUCCUCAUUAUUAUUCAUACCCAGUAAUGUGAAUCUUUUCGCAGGAUCAGAAAACAAAACCAGGAGGCGCGUAAAUGUUUCUUCUGCAUGAUGUUUCUUCAAAUGUUUCUUCUGGAUGAUGAUAAGACUGUGACACGGGAUGCCACCUUUGGUCUUGUGAUGAAGCAAAGCUCAGGAAGAAGUGGGAUUAAAUGGUACCCACAUGUGUGAAGCACUGAGAAGGAUGUACAGGGGCACCUGCAGCCAAAUCCAAGCCUCAGAGCAGCAGUUUGUGCUCACAGAUGGUGACGGUGUGGAGAGACGGUGGUGUUUCCUCAGAAGAACCAGCAGAGUCACAAAGGACACCAGUCCAUCUCACCACCUUGACUUGCUGACUGAUGUUCGUCUGCACUGCACAGAGGAAAUCAACUGACCGAGGAGUGUUUCUGAGUGAGGGGGAGAGGAGUCAUCAUCCAGGUAAAGUGACGUGGAUCAGUGGAUACACUUGUCUCCCCUUUAAAGGAGACGAUCCAAGUCAUCCUUAAAUAUGGGCAGCAUAUCAGUCUUGGACUGUCUAACCUGCAGCACUGAAUGACCACCGCACAUGAGCAUGUUCUGCAACAUUCAGCAUCUGAUCCUUCAUCUGUGUGCUUCUGCUUUUGUGUCACAUGUCAAACAGCUGGAGAGGAAACUACACCAGUGUACUGGGAUGUUUCAGCAACACGUGCCAGAUGCUGUUCCUUCAUGGUGACAUCACCAGAGACAGCCCCGCCCACCUCAGGACCUCACCAUUGAUCAUGAAGAUUAUAAUGAUGACAGCGAGCGGAACUAAGACUGUAAAAAUCCAC
ensembl:lncRNA